rnacentral:rRNA from 1 species
UACGUAGGGUGCAGGCGUUAAUCGGAAUUACUGGGCGUAAAGCGUGCGCAGGCGGUUUCUUAAGUCAGAUGUGAAAGCCCCGGGCUUAACCUGGGAACUGCGUUUGAAACUGGGAGACUUGAGUGUGGCAGAGGGGGGGUGGAAUUCCACGUGUAGCAGUGAAAUGCGUAGAUAUGUGGAGGAACACCGAUGGCGAAGGCAGCCCCCCUGGGCCAACACUGGACGCCUCAUGCACGAAAGCGUGG